GUGGGGAAUCUUGCGCAAUGGGCGAAAGCCUGACGCAGCCAUGCCGCGAGAAUGAUGAAGUCCUUAGGAUUGUAAAAUUCUUUCACCGGGGACGAUAAUGACGGUACCCGGAGAAGAAGCCCCGGCUAACUUCGUGCCAGCAGCCGCGGUAAUACGAAGGGGGCUAGCGUUGCUCGGAAUUACUGGGCGUAAAGGGCGCGUAGGCGGACAGUUAAGUUGGGGGUGAAAGCCCAGGGCUCAACCUCGGAACUGCCUUCAAUACUGGCUGUCUUGAGUAUGAGAGAAGUGUGUGGAACGCCGAGUGUAGAGGUGAAAUUCGUAGAUAUUCGGAAGAACACCAGUGGCGAAGGCGACACACUGGCUCAUUACUGACGCUGAGGCGCGAAAGCGUGGGGAGCAAACAGGAUUAGAUACCCUUGUAGUCC
rnacentral:rRNA from 1 species